ACCAAGUUCUCCACCAACCUGAGAAUGCCCCAGUGCACUGGUAGCUCUGUACUUGGGGCAUAUCGCUGCUAAACCUGGAUACGUCCUCAGAAGGACCCUUGAUUUUCUCCUGUUUAUUCAUCAACCGCUCUGAAGCUAAACAAAGACCUUCCUUCACUACUGGAAAAGCUCAUGAAACUUCCAGGAGCUCCCUCAUUUGAGACGUCUCAUCUGCCGCUCACCAUACCGCUGUGAAUUACCGACUACCAUGUAAUCACUCUGUUUUCACAGACAAGGAGCUUGAGUCACAGGACACCCCUUAGAAGCUGGACGGCUGGCUGGCUCCCUGCCCCAUCCCAGUCCCUCUAGGCUGGCUCCCUGCCCCAUCCCAGUCCCUCUAGGCUGGCUCCCUGCCCUAUCCCAGUCCCUCUAGGCUGGCUCGCUUGUUUGAGCUUCCGUCUGUGUAACUCUAGACCAAAGAGCCAGAGCCAAUUCCUGUCUGAAUGUAAAUCAAAUUCCAGAAGGUUCACAGGAUUUUUUUUAUUCUUUCCUUUUCUUGGUUUCUUUCUCUUCUCCUCCUCCACCCUUCUCUCCUCCUCUCUCUCUCUCUCUCUCUCUCUCUCUCUUUUUUGUUCUUAAGGAAACAAAUGUAUGUAUUCAGUCACUGGAGUCCUUCCUCCUCUAGAGCCAGCUCCACAGCUGUUUCUGGGAGUUGAGUGAGCGGCAGCUCUCCUGGACCCACUGAAGCCUCUGGGACGGACAGGGCUGUGAGGAGCCCCCUCAGUGAUUCUAGAAUCGUAAAGACGAACUUCACACCUUUGACAACUGGCUCCAACCAUGUGAGCUGGGCUCCAGGCUUCAGCUCUCAGAAGAUUAGUGAAAGAUGAUGGCUGAUCUGGAGCAUCUUCGCUGAGGACAAAACGAGAUAGAUGACGCUUUGGAGCCAUCUUUCUGGGGCAACAGAGAACGGAGGUCCCUUUUUGAGAAGACCCGAGACAAUGAUGUGCUUCCACGCCAGAAUGGGAAGAAAUGGUCCAAGAGAGCAAACCAGAAGUAAGAGCGAAAGUGAAGGGGAGCAGUGGGCUUGACGUCCAUUUUGAUAUCACUGAGGCCCAGGUAAGUGACUUAGGGUAUAGGUGACAGUAGAAGUGACAUGAUGGUCCUAAGGUAGUCAACCUUUCGGAACAAAGGUGAUUUUAGGAAAACGAAUACAACUGAGUUUGGGGCUCU
rnacentral:lncRNA from 1 species